UGGGCUUACGACUUACCAUCCUGUCAAACU
rnacentral:piRNA from 1 species